AGUUAAGAUGGCGCGGGGAAGUGCUGGGAGCCGUCUCCGUCGCCGCCUCGGGGGAACCGGCCCGGGCCUCGGCCGCCUCUAGUCCUCACACAGCCGAGGCCCUCUCGGUCCCCCGCCGCGGCCCCUCGGCGGGCGGGCCCACGCGCAGCCCUCCGCCACCAACACCACCCCUGUGGCAAGAGGAAAAACAGCAAGUCCAACUCCACAGGUUUGUAAGGAGCAGCCAGCUUUGAUUUGCCCUGCACGUCAUAGCUCAGAAAGUUUUGCUGCUCAUACAAUCCUCAGCAAAGACCAUCCAUUCAUUCCGGGAUUCCCCCAGCUCAUGGACACAGGUCGGUCUCUAACUACAGACAGCCUUCUUCUGGGAACUCUCACCAGCCUGAUUUCCAAACUCCCAGUCCACCUUCACAUUGUUUGCCUGUUUUCAGUGCCUUUCCUCUGCAGAUCUCUCAGUAGGCAGCCGUAAGGAGUCAGCAAAGGCUAACACGGCUGCCCUCAGCUGGAAACCUAGUGUAGUGCCUAUUACAUUUCUCCUGGAACCAUUCCUUGUGAGAAAGGCAAUUCAAACUCUAUCUUAAGUGAGCAUCUACUUCCUUUUCAUCUGAGUUAUAAAAGAAUAGUGCCCCCUUUGGCUCAAAUCUAUGCAAUGUGGAGGAAGAAAAGGCAAGAGCUAAUCCUUGCCAUGAAUUCAUCAUUGUCAUCGUCACCAUUUCACCAUUAUCAGCAACAGACUCUAGAAACAACUUGGUGAAGGCUUGAAAA
rnacentral:antisense_RNA from 1 species